UGAAGGCUGAAAUUCGCCUUCAUGAAGCCGGAAUUGCUAGUAAUGGCAGGUCAGCAUACUGCCGUGAAUACGUUCCCGGGCCUUGUACACACCGCCCGUCACACCAUGAGAGUUGGGAAUACCCGAAGCCUGUGAGCUAACAUUUAUGAGGCAGCAGUCGAAGGUAGAGCCAAUGAUUGGGGUGAAGUCGUAACAAGGUAUC
rnacentral:rRNA from 1 species